UGCGUAGGCGGUUUAUUAAGUCAGCGGUGAAAGGUAGCAGCUUAACUGUUUUACAUGCCGUUGAUACUGGUUAGCUUGAGUUGACAGAAGGCAGAUAGAAUUUCUGGUGUAGCGGUGAAAUGCUUAGAUACCAGAAGGAAUACCGAUUGCGAAGGCAGUCUGCUGCAGUCACACUGACGCUGAUGCACGAAGGUGCGGGGAUCAAACAGGAUUAGAUACCCUUGUA
rnacentral:rRNA from 1 species